rnacentral:rRNA from 1 species
CCUACGGGGGGCAGCAGUGGGGGAUAUUGCACAAUGGGGGAAACCCUGAUGCAGCGACGCCGCGUGAGUGAAGAAGUAUUUCGGUAUGUAAAGUUCUAUCAGCAGGGAAGAAAAUGUCAGUACCUGACCAAUAAGCCCCGGCUAACUCCGUGCCAGCAGCCGCGGUAAUACGUAGGGGGCAAGCGUUCUCCGGUUUUACUGGGUGUAAAGGGAGCGUAGACGGUUAUGUCAGUCUGGAGUGCAAGCCCUGGGCUCAACCCGGGGAGUGCUUUGGAUACUGGGUAACUGGAGUACAGGAGGGGCAGGCGGAAUUCCAGGUGUAGCGGUGAAAUGCGUAGAGAUGAGGAGGAACACCGGCGGCGAAGGCGGCCUGCUGGACAGAAACUGACGUGGAGGCGCGAAAGCGUGGGGAGCAAACAGGAUUAGAUACCCGAGUAGUC